rnacentral:rRNA from 1 species
CGAGAGGGUGCAAGCGUUAAUCGGAAUUACUGGGCGUAAAGCGUGCGUAGUCGGUUAUCUAAGUCGGAUGUGAAAUCCCCGGGCUCAACCUGGGAAUUGCAUUCGAUACUGGGUAGCUAGAGUUCGGCAGAGGGAAGCGGGAAUUUCUGGUGUAGCGGUGAAAUGCGUAGAUAUCAGAAGGAACAUCAGUGGCGAAAGCGGCUUCCUGGACCAGAACUGACGAUCAGGCACGAAAGCGUGGGGAGCAAACAGGAUUAGAUACCCUGGUAGUCCACGCCAUAAACGAUGACAACUAGACGUUGGGGACGUAUGGUCCACAGUGUCGCAGCUAACGCGUUAAGUUGUCCGCCUGGGGAGUACGGCCGCAAGGUUG